rnacentral:rRNA from 1 species
CGGGUGAGUAACACGUGAGUGACCUGCCUUUUAGACUGGAACAACUUACCGAAAGGUGAGCUAAUGCCGGAUGAGUUAUAUAAGUGCAUGUUUAUAUAGGAAAAGUUGGGGAGACCUGACGCUGAAAGAUGGACUCGCGUCCCAUUAGCUAGUUGGUAGGGUAAUGGCCUACCAAGGCGACGAUGGGUAGCUGGCCUGAGAGGGUGGCCGGCCACACUGGGACUGAGACACGGCCCAGACUCCUACGGGAGGCAGCAG